rnacentral:rRNA from 1 species
UGGGGAAUAUUGCACAAUGGGCGAAAGCCUGAUGCAGCAACGCCGCGUGAGUGAUGAAGGCCUUCGGGUUGUAAAGCUCUGUCUUUUGGGACGAUAAUGACGGUACCAAAGGAGGAAGCCACGGCUAACUACGUGCCAGCAGCCGCGGUAAUACGUAGGUGGCAAGCGUUGUCCGGAUUUACUGGGCGUAAAGGAUGCGUAGGCGGAUUUUUAAGUGAGAUGUGAAAACCCUAGCUUAACUUGGGGACUGCAUUUCAUACUGGAAAUCUAGAGUGCGGGAGAGGAGAAUGGAAUUCCUAGUGUAGCGGUGAAAUGCGUAGAGAUUAGGAAGAACACCAGUGGCGAAGGCGAUUCUCUGGACCGUAACUGACGCUGAGGCAUGAAAGCGUGGGUAGCAAACAGGAUUAGAUACCCUGGUAGUCCACGCCGUAAACGAUGAGUACUAGGUGUAGGAGGUAUCGACCCCUUCUGUGCCGCAGUUAACACAAUAAGUACUCCGCCUGGGAAGUACGAUCGCAAGAUUAAAACUCAAAUGAAUUGACGGGGUCAUAGCUG